UCUUAUGGAUGAGCAAGGAAAGUGGUUUCUUGAGACGGCAUCUACUCCCAGUGAAGAUGCUAGGAA
rnacentral:pre_miRNA from 1 species